rnacentral:rRNA from 1 species
GUGUCAGCAGCCGCGGUAAUACGUAGGUGGCGAGCGUUGUCCGGAAUUACUGGGUGUAAAGGGCGUGUAGGCGGGACUGUAAGUCAGAUGUGAAAUUCCAGGGCUUAACUCUGGAGCUGCAUCUGAAACUAUGGUUCUUGAGUGCUGGAGAGGAAAGCGGAAUUCCUAGUGUAGCGGUGAAAUGCGUAGAUAUUAGGAGGAACACCAGUGGCGAAGGCGGCUUUCUGGACAGUAACUGACGCUGAGGCGCGAAAGCGUGGGGAGCAAACAGGAUUAGAUACCCUGGUAGUCCACGCUGUAAACGAUGGAUACUAGGUGUAGGAGGUAUCGACCCCUUCUGUGCCGCAGUUAACACAAUAAGUAUCCCACCUGGGGAGUACGGCCGCAAGGUUGAA